rnacentral:rRNA from 1 species
AUUGAACGCUGGCGGCAGGCCUAACACAUGCAAGUCGAGCGGAGCGGCGGACGGGUGAGUAAUGCCUAGGAAUCUGCCUGGUAGUGGGGGAUAACGUCCGGAAACGGGCGCUAAUACCGCAUCCUAUCAGAUGAGCCUAGGUCGGAUUAGCUAGUUGGUGGGGUAAGGGCCUACCAAGGCGACGAUCCGUAACUGGUCGGAGUGGAUGAUCAGUCCCACUGGAACGUAGACACGUUCCAGACUCCUACGGGGUGCGGCGGUGGGGAAUAGUGGACAUUUGGCUAAAGCCUAAUCCAGCCAUGCCGCGUGUGUGAGGAAGGUCUUCGGAGUGUAAAGCACUUUAGGUGGGGAGGCGUUCCCAACAGAAUAAGCACCGGCUAACUUCGGGCCAGCGGCCGCGGUAAUU